UGAGUAACCUGCCCUUCACUCUGGGAUAACUCCGGGAAACCGGGGCUAAUACUGGAUAUGACUCGAACAGGCAUCUGUUUCGGGUGGAAAGAUUUAUUGGUGGAGGAUGGACUCGCGGCCUAUCAGCUUGUUGGUGAGGUAAUGGCUCACCAAGGCGACGACGGGUAGCCGGCCUGAGAGGGCGAUCGGCCACACUGGGACUGAGGCACGGCCCAGACUCCGUACGGGAGCA
rnacentral:rRNA from 1 species